AACGCGUAGGUAACCUGCCUUGUAGCGGGGGAUAACUAUUGGAAACGAAGCUAAUACCGCAUAACAAUGGAUGACACAUGUCAUUUAUUUGAAAGGGGCAAUUGCUCCACUACAAGAUGGACCUGCGUUGUAUUAGCUAGUAGGUGAGGUAACGGCUCACCUAGGCGACGAUACAUAGCCGACCUGAGAGGGUGAUCGGCCACACUGGGACUGAGACACGGCCCAGACUCCUACGGGAGGCAGCAGUAGGGAAUCUUCGGCAAUGGGGGCAACCCUGACCGAGCAACGCCGCGUGAGUGAAGAAGGUUUUCGGAUCGUAAAGCUCUGUUGUAAGUCAAGAACGAGUGUGAGAGUGGAAAGUUCACACUGUGACGGUAGCUUACCAGAAAGGGACGGCUAACUACGUGCCAGCAGCCGCGGUAAUACGUAGGUCCCGAGCGUUGUCCGGAUUUAUUGGGCGUAAAGCGAGCGCAGGCGGUUUGAUAAGUCUGAAGUUAAAGGCUGUGGCUCAACCAUAGUUCGCUUUGGAAACUGUCAAACUUGAGUGCAGAAGGGGAGAGUGGAAUUCCAUGUGUAGCGGUGAAAUGCGUAGAUAUAUGGAGGAACACCGGUGGCGAAAGCGGCUCUCUGGUCUGUAACUGACGCUGAGGCUCGAAAGCGUGGGGAGCGAACAGGAUUAGAUACCCUGGUAGUCCACGCCGUAAACGAUGAGUGCUAGGUGUUGGAUCCUUUCCGGGAUUCAGUGCCGCAGCUAACGCAUUAAGCACUCCGCCUGGGGAGUACGACCGCAAGGUUGAAACUCAAAGGAAUUGACGGGGGCCCGCACAAGCGGUGGAGCAUGUGGUUUAAUUCGAAGCAACGCGAAGAACCUUACCAGGUCUUGACAUCCCGAUGCUAUUUCUAGAGAUAGAAAGUUACUUCGGUACAUCGGUGACAGGUGGUGCAUGGUUGUCGUCAGCUCGUGUCGUGAGAUGUUGGGUUAAGUCCCGCAACGAGCGCAACCCCUAUUGUUAGUUGCCAUCAUUCAGUUGGGCACUCUAGCGAGACUGCCGGUAAUAAACCGGAGGAAGGUGGGGAUGACGUCAAAUCAUCAUGCCCCUUAUGACCUGGGCUACACACGUGCUACAAUGGUUGGUACAACGAGUUGCGAGUCGGUGACGGCAAGCUAAUCUCUUAAAGCCAAUCUCAGUUCGGAUUGUAGGCUGCAACUCGCCUACAUGAAGUCGGAAUCGCUAGUAAUCGCGGAUCAGCACGCCGCGGUGAAUACGUUCCCGGGCCUUGUACACACCGCCCGUCACACCACGAGAGUUUGUAACACCCGAAGUCGGUGAGGUAACCUUUUGGA
rnacentral:rRNA from 1 species